CAGAUCAGUGAGGAAGAGGCUAUUGACAAGUGUGGAUUUGCCCAGGCCAGACUCUCCUGAGAGGAGAGAGGACAGAGGCACCAAAUCAGAAGGGACCCUUCUCUGGGCUGUCUGAUAGUCUGCAGAGACACAGCUGCUUCCGUGCUCUGGGAGAGAGGGACUCCUUGGAGAUCUGAUCUCACUAGUAGUCGUAAUUCUUUGGAUGGGCUCAGUUUGUACUGCUUCAUCCUUUGGAGACCAGGUUUCAUCAUGCUGACCAGGCUGGUCCCAAAUUCCUGGGCUCAGGUGAUCCGCUCACCUCACCUCCCAAAGUGCUGGAAUUACAGGCUGAGCCACCUCGCCCGACUGAUACUUGAUUGAGUUCACCUAUCCUGAUUCCCGCAAGUGAACUUACUGGUGAAGCUUCCAGGCCUGGGCUGUCUGCCAUGCUGGUCACUGUCACAGUCAUAGUUGCCCGUCUUGUCAAACUUGCCAUUUCCUCUGGGCUCAUCAUUUUCCCUAUGAUACUCAAUAACUCGCUGCCAAUCUGUGUUUUCUGGGCUCCUAAUGGGGGGUGGCAGCAGGGCGUCGGGCUCAUUUUCAGCCUCGCUCUCUAAAGUCAGACUACUCUGAGGAUGCCAAGGAGGUACUGUGAGCUGUCCAGUAGCUGCUUUCUUUGCCAUUUCUUUCACCUCCACUGUGCACAAGAGAAAGCAGCAUUUAAAACAUCACUGUAAACAUUGGAAACACAGGCUUUCAUCUAAAAGAAAUACAUAAUACUAUCAUAACUCAUAGUGUAACAAUUGCCUUUUUACAGUUGCAUCAUCCUUAGCUUGCCCUGUUUGGCUUGAAUGGGAGGUCAGGGGAGAAUUGAUGAGAGAGAGAGAGAAGGGAAUUUCAGUCAGUUAUCCCAAACAACAGCCCUUGUUGCUGACUUCCAGGGUGAAAGGCAGCAAACAACUUACAGAUAGACCCUCUUCCUGUGAAGUUUUAACAGGAAAAAUGACAUCUAUAGUUCUUAGUGUGUAAUAAUAGAAAGUAUUCUAUUUGAGUUUGUCUAGUCUUUCCAGACUACACUGAGCUCAUAUUUUUGGAGUGCAUACAUAUAUGCAUGUUUUCAUUUCAAAUGUUGUCGAACACUUCUGCUAAUGUCACUUACGACUAGUAUUAAAAAUAGACAUUAUAUCCUUUAAGCCUGUAAGAGAAAACUGAUACAAAGAAUAAUGCCCACAGGAUAUGAGAGUGACACUGCAUACUCUCCACUUUUAUAAUGUUAUAUAGUAAAUAUCUAUGUAGCAGUUCCUCAAAUAAUGUCAUUUUAUUCAACAUUGUUUCAUUGUAACUCUGAUGAGAAAAAAAAAACCAAUCAAUUCCCAGCUGGGGCCACUGUCUGUGUGGCACUUGCAUAUUCUUCCCAUAUCUGCAUGGGUUUUUUCCAGGUAGUCCGGUUUCCUCCCACAUCCUAAAUAUGUGCACGUUAGGUGAAUUAGUAUGUUGAAGUUGCCCCAGUCUGUGUGAGUGGGAGUGUGUGAGUACACUCUGCAAUGGAAUGGUGUCUGUCUAGGGCUGGUUCCCUCCUUGUACUCUGAGUUGCCAGGAUAGGUUCCAGCCACCUGUGACCCUGAACUAGAAUAAACAGGUAAUUACUUAUCUUACUUGUUUUUAUUAAUCUCUCUUAAAUGUGUACAUAGCUCACAUUUAUUUCAAUGUUUAAUAUUAGAAGUGUCUUGGUCUUUAUUUAGAAGUAUGGUGAUGUAUUUGUGACCAGAAAUAUGCUAUAGGAACUUAACUCUUGCUUACAUCAAUUAGCCCAUGGUAAAAUUGGUUUUGUUAUACAUCGUUUUGCUUAAAGUCGUAGUUUGCUUAAA